CCUACGGGGGGCUGCAGUAAGGAAUAUUGCACAAUGGGCGAAAGCCUGAUGCAGCAACGCCGCGUGAGUGAAGAAGGCCUUCGGGUCGUAAAACUCUUUUCUAGGGGAAGAGGAAGGACGGUACCCUAGGAAUAAGUCUCGGCUAACUACGUGCCAGCAGCCGCGGUAAAACGUAGGAGGCGAGCGUUAUCCGGAUUCAUUGGGCGUAAAGGGCAAGUAGGCGGUACGCAAAGUUGGUUGUGACAUCUCCCGGCUCAACUGGGAGGGUGCGGCCAAAACUAGCGAACUAGAGGGCAGAAGAGGGAAGUGGAAUUCCUGGUGUAGCGGUGGAAUGCUCAGAUACCAGGAGGAACACCAGUGGCGAAGGCGACUUUCUGGUCUGCACCUGACGCUGAGAGGCGAAAGCUAGGGGAGCGAACGGGCUUAGAUACCCCAGUAGUC
rnacentral:rRNA from 1 species